rnacentral:rRNA from 1 species
CCUACGGGUGGCAGCAGUGGGGAAUAUUGGACAAUGGGGGGAACCCUGAUGCAGCGACGCCGCGUGAGUGAAGAAGUAUUUCGGUAUGUAAAGCUCUAUCAGCAGGGAAGAAAGAAAUGACGGUACCUGACUAAGAACCGGCGGCAAACUACGUGCCAGCAGCCGCGGUAAUACGUAGGGAGACAGCGUUAUGCGGAUUUACGGGGUGUAAAGGGAGCGUAGACGGCGAUGCAAGUCUGGAGUGAAAGGCGGGGGCCCAACCUCCGGACUGCUUUGGAAACUGUAUGGCUGGAGUGCAGGGGAGGUAAGUGGAAUUCCUAGUGUAGCGGUGAAAUGCGUAGAUAUUAGGAGGAACACCAGUGGCGAAGGCGGCUUACUGGACUGUAACUAACGUUGAGGCUCGAAAGCGUGGGGAGCAAACAGGAUUAGAUACCCGAGUAGUC